AGUGAACGCUGGCGGUAGGCCUAACACAUGCAAGUCGAACGGCAGCACAGUAAGCGCUUUCUCUUACGGGUGGCGAGUGGCGGACGGGUGAGGCAUACAUCGGAAUCUACUUUUUCUUGGGGGAUAACGUAGGGAAACUUACGCUAAUACCUCAUACGACCUACGGGUGAAAGCAGGGGAUCUUCGGACCUUUCGCGAUUGAAUGAGCCGAUGUCGGAUUAGCUAGUUGGCUGGGUAAAGGCCCACCAAGGCGACGAUCCGUAGCAGGUCUGAGAGGAUGAUCAGCCACACUGGAACUGAGACACGGUCCAGACUCCUACGGGAGGCAGCAGUGGGGAAUAUUGGACAAUGGGCGCAAGCCUGAUCCAGCCAUGCCGCGUGGGUGAAGAAGGCCUUCGGGUUGUAAAGCCCUUUUGUUGGGAAAGAAAAGCAGCAGGUUAAUCCCCCGAUGUUCUGACGGUACCCAAAGAAUAAGCACCGGCUAACUUCGUG
rnacentral:rRNA from 1 species